rnacentral:rRNA from 1 species
GACGAACGCUGGCGGCGUGCUUAACACAUGCAAGUCGAACGGAAAGGCCCUGCUUUUGUGGGGUGCUCGAGUGGCGAACGGGUGAGUAACACGUGAGUAACCUGCCCUUGACUUUGGGAUAACUUCAGGAAACUGGGGCUAAUACCGGAUAGGAGCUCCUGCUGCAUGGUGGGGGUUGGAAAGUUUCGGCGGUUGGGGAUGGACUCGCGGCUUAUCAGCUUGUUGGUGGGGUAGUGGCUUACCAAGGCUUUGACGGGUAGCGGGCCUGAGAGGGUGACCGGCCCCAUUGGGACUGUGCUGCGCCCCAGACUCCUCCACUAGGGGGCGCAGGGGAAUAGUGUACAAUGGGCGGGAGCGUGAUGUAGUAACGCCGCGUGCGGGGUGCCGGCCUUCGGGUUGUAACCCGCUUUCGCCUGUGACGAGACGUGAGUGACGGUAAUGGGUAAAGAAGCACCGGCUAACUACGUG